GUCUUCUCACUGAGUUCCUUUCUGUCGACAUGUGGCAAUUCAUGGAUUCACAAAAGAAGAAGAGACAAUUCACAGAGCUCACCUUAUUUUGCCUGUUCUCUCCAGAGGUAUAUUCUGCUGUUUUGUGAGACAUCC